rnacentral:rRNA from 1 species
AUACGUAGGGGACAAGCGUUAUCCGGAUUUACUGGGCGUAAAGGGCGUGUAGGCGGUCUUGCAAGUCAGAAGUGAAAUUCCUGAGCUCAACUCGGGCGCUGCUUCUGAAACUGCAGGACUUGAGUGCUGGAGGGGAUAGCGGAAUUCCUAGUGGAGCGGUAAAAUGCGCAGAUAUUAGGAAGAACACCGGUGGCGAAGGCGGAUAUCUGGACCGUAACUGGCGCUGGGGGGCGAAAGCGUGGGGAGCAAACAGGAAUUAUUUCCCUGGUAGUCCACGCUGUAAACGAUGGAUACUAAGUGGAGGGGGUAUCGACUCCCUCGGUGCCGCAGUUAACACAAUAAGUAUUCCGCCUGGGGAGUACGGCCGCAAGGUUGAAACUCAAAUGAAUUGACGGGG